AGUGAACGCUGGCGGUAGGCCUAACACAUGCAAGUCGAACGGCAGCACAGGAGAGCUUGCUCUCUGGGUGGCGAGUGGCGGACGGGUGAGGAAUACAUCGGAAUCUACUCUGUCGUGGGGGAUAACGUAGGGAAACUUACGCUAAUACCGCAUACGACCUACGGGUGAAAGCAGGGGAUCUUCGGACCUUGCGCGAUUGAAUGAGCCGAUGUCGGAUUAGCUAGUUGGCGGGGUAGAGGCCCACCAAGGCGACGAUCCGUGGCUGGUCUGAGAGGAUGAUGAGCCACACUGGAACUGAGACACGGUCCAGACUCCGACGGGAGGCAGCAGUGGGGAAUAUUGGACAAUGGGCGCAAGCCUGAUCCAGCCAUACCGCGUGGGUGAAGAAGGCCUUCGGGUUGUAAAGCCCUUUUGUUGGGAAAGAAAUCCAGCUGGCUAAUACCCGGUUGGGAUGACGGUACCCAAAGAAUAAGCACCGGCUAACUUCGUGCCAGCAGCCGCCGUAA
rnacentral:rRNA from 1 species